AACGAACGUUGGCGGCGUGGAUUAGGCAUGCAAGUCGAACGCGAAUCCCUGGGCAACUGGUGAGGAGAGUGGCGAAAGGGGCAGUAAGGCGUGGGUAACCUACCCUCCGGGCCGGGAUAGCUUCGGGAAACUGAAGGUAAUACCGGGCGACGCAGCGAGAUCGCAUGGUCUUGCUGCCAAAGGUCCGCCGCCGGGGGAGGGGCUCACGUGGUAUUAGCUAGACGGCGGGGUAACGGCCCACCGUGGCAAAGAUGCCUAGCAGGUGUGAGAGCACGACCUGCGCCACUGGCACUGAGACACUGGCCAGACACCUACGGGUGGCUGCAGUCGAGGAUCUUCGGCAAUGGGCGCAAGCCUGACCGAGCGACGCCGCGUGUGCGAUGAAGGCCUUCGGGUUGUAAAGCACUGUCGAGGGGGAGGAAGCCGCAAGGUUGACCUAUCCCUGGAGGAAGCACGGGCUAAGUUCGUG
rnacentral:rRNA from 1 species